GAUGAACGCUGGCGGCGUGCCUAAUACAUGCAAGUCGAGCGAACAGAUAAGGAGCUUGCUCCUUUGACGUUAGCGGCGGACGGGUGAGUAACACGUGGGUAACCUACCUAUAAGACUGGGAUAACUUCGGGAAACCGGAGCUAAUACCGGAUAACAUUUGGAACCGCAUGGUUCUAAAGUGAAAGAUGGUUUUGCUAUCACUUAUAGAUGGACCCGCGCCGUAUUAGCUAGUUGGUAAGGUAACGGCUUACCAAGGCGACGAUACGUAGCCGACCUGAGAGGGUGAUCGGCCACACUGGAACUGAGACACGGUCCAGACUCCUACGGGAGGCAGCAGUAGGGAAUCUUCCGCAAUGGGCGAAAGCCUGACGGAGCAACGCCGCGUGAGUGAUGAAGGGUUUCGGCUCGUAAAACCCUGUUAUUAGGGAAGAACAAACGUGUAAGUAACUGUGCACGUCUUGACGGUACCUAAUCAGAAAGCCACGGCUAACUACGUG
rnacentral:rRNA from 1 species